GAGAGUCAAAGAGACCGCGAAACCGUUGGGAGGGAAACGAACGUGGCCAUGAAGACUCCCUUCAGGUUCAGGGAGCCUCGGUUUGGGCGUUUGCUUGGUUGGGGACCCGCUGUCGGGACCCGCCGACGCAAGUCCUUCCAGGCUUCUGCAAUCCCGUCUGGAGUCCGCCAACGGCGGCCGUUCGCGGUCGAGGAGGGUCGUGGGGUAGGUGCCUCUUUGCCGAGCCUUCGCGGGCUUUUGGGGAGGAGAGCUUACAGCCUUCGGCUCGGUAGAUCGGGGAUGGCCGAGGAGCGUUGCGACCAGUCGCACGGCGUAGCGCAGGCUCCGCAGGGGCCGGGUCGCUUCUGGACUUGCGUGCUUCGCGGCGAGCCACUGCCCGCAGUGACAGCCGACGGUAGGUGCGCUUGUGCGGGAGGCGGACCACGAUUUGCGCUUCGGUCGUUGGUGUGCGUAUGGUUCCGUCCGACCCGUCU
rnacentral:rRNA from 1 species